UACGUAGGGGGCAAGCGUUGUCCGGAAUUAUUGGGCGUAAAGAGCGUGUAGGCGGUCCGGUAAGUCAGCUGUGAAAGUCAAGGGCUCAACCCUUGAAAGCCGGUUGAUACUGUCGGGCUAGAGUCCGGAAGAGGCGAGUGGAAUUCCCGGUGUAGCGGUGAAAUGCGCAGAUAUCGGGAGGAACACCGGUGGCGAAGGCGGUUCUCUGGGCCUGUACUGACGCUGAGGAGCGAAAGCGUGGGGAGCGAACGGG
rnacentral:rRNA from 1 species